ACCUCGAUGUUGGAUCAGGGUAUCCCAGUGGUGCAGCCGCUACUAAAGGUUCGUUUGUUCAACGAUUAAAACCCUACGUGAUCUGAGUUCAGACCGGAGUAAUCCAGGUCAGUUUCUAUCUAUAUAUGAGUUUUUUCUAGUACGAAAGGACCGAAGAAACACGGCCCAUAUCUUUACAAGCCGUAGCUACUAAAUCAUGAUUUAAACUCAAUAAUAUCGUAGCCCAUAAAUCUACUCAAGACAAGAGUC
rnacentral:rRNA from 1 species